UCAGAGCAAUACAACGAAGCCUGGGCAGCUCUCAACUGGUAAUAGGAUGAAGUUUGGAAAAGGAGAUCAGAGAUUGAGUCUCGGGCGUGUUGGGGAUUCAACCUUUUCGGGAGAAGAGCAAUACAACGAAGUGCUGGAAAUCAAGGACUGCUGACUGAAGGGGUUUCUGUUGGAUUCCCCUUUUGGGAUGCACGACCACAAUAGCCGCUAGGCAAAGUGGAUCUGGAAUUUCUUGGCUGCUUCCCUGUGGAUGAGAGUGAGACAUCAGCGUUUGCAUCUGAUCUUGAGGAUGAAUUGGAUGAAGACAGUAAUUCCAAGAUACAAUACCCCAGAGAUGAAGUUGUUCUAUUUAGUACAUAUUUCAAACCUCUAACAAACACAUUUUGUCCAUAAACAAGCUCAUCUAUCACUUCAAGGCCUUGAUGGUGGGUGUUGAUUUCCAAUCGGGUU